UUGAACGCUGGCGGCAUGCCUUACACAUGCAAGUCGAACGGCAGCACGGGGGCAACCCUGGUGGCGAGUGGCGAACGGGUGAGUAAUGCAUCGGAACGUGCCCUGAAGUGGGGGAUAACGUAGCGAAAGUUACGCUAAUACCGCAUAUCCUGUGAGCAGGAAAGCAGGGGAUCGCAAGACCUUGCGCUUUAGGAGCGGCCGAUGUCGGAUUAGCUAGUUGGUGAGGUAAAAGCUCACCAAGGCGACGAUCCGUAGCGGGUCUGAGAGGAUGAUCCGCCACACUGGAACUGAGACACGGUCCAGACUCCUACGGGAGGCAGCAGUGGGGAAUUUUGGACAAUGGGGGCAACCCUGAUCCAGCCAUGCCGCGUGAGUGAAGAAGGCCUUCGGGUUGUAAAGCUCUUUCGGCCGGGAAGAAAUCGUAUCAGCUAAUACCUGGUGCGGAUGACGGUACCGGCAUAAGAAGCACCGGCUAACUACGU
rnacentral:rRNA from 1 species